GGUCAAGUUAUUAAGGGUUUAUGGUGGAUGCCUUGGGUCCAAAAGCCGAUGAAGGGCGUGGCAAGACUGCGAAAAGCCUCGGUAUGCUGUCUAGCAAGCUUAACCGUGGAUUCCCCAAUGGGGCAACCCUAUCCGGGUUAUACCGGAUAACUUUUUAAGAGGUAACCAGGCGAACUGAAACAUCUAAGUACCCUGAGGAAAUGAAAUCAAACGAGAUUCCCUGAGUAGUGGCGAACGAAAGGGGAGUAGCCUAAACCAAGUGGGUUUAGUGGUCUAAGGACUUAUAUCCAUUUGGUGUUGUAACGCGCACAUGUCUUUGCCUUAGAGAAGAUAUAAGAGUAAAAAACCUUUGUUUUAGCAAAAAGAAUCUGGAAUGAACUACCAAAGAAGGUGACAGUCCUGUAUGCGAAAAGACAUUGGCUCUUAGUGUGUCGUUGAGUACCACGGGACACGUGAAAUCUUGUGGGAAUCUGGGGGGACCACCCUCCAAGGCUAAAUACUUUUGGACACCGAUAGUGAACUAGUACCGUGAGGGAAAGGUGAAAAGUACCCCGAGAGGGGAGUGAAAUAGACCUGAAACCAUUUAACCUACAAGCCGUGGAAGCUCUAUAUGAGUGACCGCGUGCCUAUUGAAGAAUGAGCCGGCGAGUUAAUUUAUGCAGCUUGGUUAAGGGACACAAGUUCCGUAGCCGUAGCGAAAGCGAGUCUGAAUAGGGCGUUGACUGGGUGAAAUUAAUGCCAUUGCUUCGAAUAAAUAUCAAGGAUUUUCGGAUUUGAGAUAUGAUUUUGAUUUAAUGGUUGAUUUUUCGUUAUCCCCGGUGUGUUGUAUGGAUUAGACCCGAAACCGAGUGAGCUACCUAUGGCCAGGUUGAAGCUUAGAUAGUAUCUGAGUGGAGGACCGAACCCGUGUAUGGUACAAAAUGCUGGGAUGAGCUGUGGGUAGAGGUGAAAUGCCAAUCGAACUCGGAGAUAGCUGGUUCUCCCCGAAAUGUAUUUAGGUACAGCCUUAAUAUAUAGUCUUGGGGGGGUAGAGCUCUGGAUGAGCUAGGGGGUGUAAGCUUACUAAACUCAACCAAACUCCAAAUACCUCGAGAUGUUUAUUAGGAGUGAGACAGUGGGGGAUAAGCUCCAUUGUCGAAAGGGAAACAGCCCAGAUCGCAGGCUAAGGCCCCUAAAUGUGAACUAAGUGUGAAAGGAAGUUAGAUUGGCGAGACAGCUAGGAGGUUGGCUUAGAGGCAGCCAUCCUUUGAAGAGUGCGUAACAGCUCACUAGCAGACUGGUUUUGCGCCGAAAAUGUAACGGGGCUAAGUUCACUGCCGAAGCCGCGACUUUAAUCAUUUAUUUGAUUAAGGGGUAGGGGAGCGUUGCCAAAGCAUUGAAGCUAUGUACGUGAGUAAUAGUGGAGUUUUGGGAAGUGAGAAUGCCGGCAUGAGUAGCGACAAUCUUGGUGAGAAUCCAAGACACCGAAAACCCAAGGUUUCCUACGCAACGUUGAUCAGCGUAGGGUAAGUCGGGCCUAAGCUGUAGCGUAUAGCGAAAGCGAUGGACAGCAGGUCAAAAUUCCUGCACCGUUGUUAUGGCGUUUUAAGGCAAAGGGGGGACACGGAAAGGUAGGUAGAUCGUACCUAUUGGACAUGGUACGUUAUGUUCUGAAGGCCAUGCCUAGACAGGGAAAUCCGUUUAGGCGUUAUGAGCUGAGGGAAUGAUAAAACUUAAGGGCUUUUGCCCUUGAGGAUUCUAUUGAUCCUAUGCCGUCAAGAAAAUCCUCGUUGCUAGACAUUUCAGCGUCCGUACCGCAAACCGACACAGGUGGGUGGGGGUAAGUAUCCCAAGGUGAACGAGAGAACCUUCGUUAAGGAAUUCGACAACUUAACUCUGUAACUUCGGAAUAAAGAGUGCCCGUUUGGUAGUAUUUACUUGCUAAAUAUGGCUAAAACGGGUCGCAGUGAACAGGCUCAGGCGACUGUUUAUCAAAAACAUAGGUCUCUGCUAAAGCGAAAGCUGAUGUAUAGGGGCUGACGCCUGCCCAGUGCCGGAAGGUUAAGGGAAAGGGUUCGUUUCAAUUCGUUGAAACAAAGCUCUGCACUGAAGCCCCGGUGAACGGCGGCCGUAACUAUAACGGUCCUAAGGUAGCGAAAUCCCUUGUCGGGUAAGUUCCGACCUGCACGAAUGGCGUCACGAUCUGAGCGUUGUCUCAACGAAGGACUCGGUGAAAUUGCAUGGCCGGUAAAGAUGCCGGCUACCCGCAACAGGACAAAAAGACCCCGUGGAGCUUUACUGUAGCUUGGUAAUGGAUUGCAUUUAUUAAUGUGUAGGAUAGGCGGGAGACUUUGAAGCAUCAGCGCUAGCUGGUGUGGAGUCAACCUUGAAAUACCGCCCUUUACUAAAUUCGAUUCUAACCUCGUAGAAAACGAGGGACAUUGCCAGGUGGGCAGUUUGACUGGGGCGGUCGCCUCCUAAAGAGUAACGGAGGCGUCCAAAGGUUCCCUCAGGGUGAAUGGAAACCACCUAUAGAGUGCAUUGGCAUAAGGGAGCUUGACUGUGAGACCUACAAGUCGAGCAGAGACGAAAGUCGGGCAAAGUGAUCCCACGGUUCCGAGUGGAAGGGCCGUGGCUUAUCGGAUAAAAGCUACCCCGGGGAUAACAGGCUUAUCUCGCCCAAGAGUUCACAUCGACGGCGAGGUUUGGCACCUCGAUGUCGGCUCGUCGCAUCCUGGGGCUGAAGAAGGUCCCAAGGGUCCGUCUGUUCGCCGGUGAAAGCGGCACGCGAGCUGGGUUCAGAACGUCGUGAGACAGUUCGGUCUCAAUCCGCAGUGGGCGUAGGAAAUUUGAAGGGAGCUUUCCCUAGUACGAGAGGACCGGGAAGGACUGACCUCUGGUGUAUCGGUUGUUCUGCCAGGAGCAUUGCCGGGUAGCCAUGUCGGGAUGUGAUAAGCGCUGAAAGCAUAUAAGCGCGAAGCCAACCCUAAGAUAAGAUUUCCCAAACCCAAAUUUAUUUGGAGAGUAAGGUCCCCUGUAGACUACAGGGUUGAUAGGCCGCAUGUGUAAGUUUGGCAACAAAUUCAGCUAAGCGGUACUAAUAGACCGAGGACUUGACCCACA
rnacentral:rRNA from 1 species